rnacentral:ncRNA from 1 species
CCGAUAGAGGUUGCGGCUUGUCAAGAUUAGUUCCGCUUUAUGAACGAACAGGUUCUGCGAAACGAAAGGGGCGGCCGCCGAAAUGGUGUUCUUUCUGUUCAAAGUGCGCUGUUGGGCUGUUGCAGAAUAUGUAACAGACUGUCACCUUUGGUGGAGCGCUAUCGU